rnacentral:rRNA from 1 species
AGAGUUUGAUCAUGGCUCAGAACGAACGCUGGCGGCAUGCCUAACACAUGCAAGUCGAACGAGAAAGUUUCCUUCGGGGAACUAGUAAAGUGGCGCAAGGGUGAGUAACACGUGAAUAAUCUGCCUACGAAUUCGGGAUAACUCGGCGAAAGUUGUGCUAAUACCGGAUAAGACCACACUCCUAAUGGAGCGUGGCCAAAGGAGUCUCAAACUCCGUUUGUAGAUGAGUUCGCGGACCAUUAGCUUGUUGGCGGGAUAACAGCCCACCAAGGCGACGAUGGUUAGCCGGCCUGAGAGGGCGAUCGGCCACACUGGAACUGAGACACGGUCCAGACUCCUACGGGAGGCAGCAGUGGGGAAUAUUGCGCAAUGGGCGAAAGCCUGACGCAGCAAUGCCGCGUGAGGGAUGAAGGCUUUUGAGUCGUAAACCUCUGUCGGAUGGGAAGAAUAAUGACGGUACCAUCAGAGGAAGCCCCGGCUAACUCCGUGCCAGCAGCCGCGGUAAUACGGAGGGGGCAAGCGUUGUUCGGAAUUAUUGGGCGUAAAGAGUAUGUAGGCGGCUUAUUAAGUCAGGCGUGUAAGCCCACGGCUCAACCGUGGAAUUGCGUUUGAAACUAUUAGGCUUGAGUACAGGAGAGGAAGGCGGAAUUCCCAGUGUAGCGGUGAAAUGCAUUGAUAUUGG